UGUUAAAAAAAUCAUUUAUUUGUGUUAUUAAAAAUUAAAAUAACUGACGAAAUAACUUGACAAUGACAUGUGACAUGUCACGUUUAUCUUAUGCUAAUGUAUAAGAACCAAUUUUUAACAGUAAAAAUGAAUAGAAUUUAUAAUA
rnacentral:pre_miRNA from 1 species